rnacentral:rRNA from 1 species
GAUGAACGCUGGCGGCGUGCCUAAUACAUGCAAGUCGAGCGAACAGACGCGGAGCUUUCUCCUCUGACGUUAGCGGCGGACGGGUGAGUAACAAGUUGAUAACCUACCUAUAAGACUUGGAUAACUUCGGGAAACCGGAGCUAAUACCGGAUAAUAUAUUUAACCGCAUGGUUCAAUAGUUAAAGACGGUUUUGCUGUCACUUAUAGAUUGAUCCGCGCCGCAUUGGCUAGUUGGUAAGGUAACGGCUUACCAAGGCGACGAUGCGUAGCCGACCUGUAAGGGGCAUCGGCCAGAGUGCAACCGCGACACGACCCAGACACCGACGGGAGGCAGAAGUAGGGAAGCUUCCGCGAUGAGCGAAAGCCUGACGGAGGACCGCCGCGUGAGUGAUGAAGGUCUGCUGAUCGUAAAACUCUGUUAUUAGUGAAGAACAAACGUGUAAGUAACUAUGCACGUCUUGACGGUACCUAAACAGAAAGCCACGGCUAACUACGUG